rnacentral:rRNA from 1 species
GGGGUUCAGGUCUCGUUGGUGACCAGCGGAGGGAUCAUUACAGAGUUAUACAACUCCCAUACCAUCUGUUAACCUACCCAGUUAUGCCUCGGCGUAAGCUCGGUUGGAGGCACCUGCAGCUACCCUGUAGUUGCGGACUGCCAACUCCAGCCGCGGCCCGCCGGCGGUACACUAAACUCUGUUUUAUUUUAUAUUCUGAGCGUCUUAUUUUAAUAAGUUAAAACUUUCAACAACGGAUCUCUUGGUUCUGGCAUCGAUGAAGAACGCAGCGAAAUGCGAUAAGUAAUGUGAAUUGCAGAAUUCAGUGAAUCAUCGAAUCUUUGAACGCACAUUGCGCCCAUCAGUAUUCUGGUGGGCAUGCCUGUUCGAGCGUCAUUUCAACCCUUAAGCCUAGCUUAGUGUUGGGAAUCUGCUGUACUGCAGUUCCUUAAAGACAGUGGCGGAGCGGCGGUAGUCCUCUGAGCGUAGUAAUUUAUUUCUCGCUUUUGUCAGGCUCUGUCCUCCCGCCAUAAAACCCCCAAUUUUUUAGUGGUUGACCUCGGAUCAGGUAGGAAUACCCGCUGAACUUAAGCAUAUCAAAA